AAAGAAUGAGAAGGCAGGUCCUCCGGGAGCUGGCACGGCAGACAAUGUGUGUCUUGUGUGAGUAAUUUAGCGCUGUGGCCAGUCAAUCUGGUUUCUGGGCCCGCUGCCCUGACCCUCUUUAGAGCUGCUUGCUCUCGCCGACACAGUGUGAAACAUUUUCUUUCACUGCGCUGACACUCCGCAGAUUGAGACGUCAGCCUGGUCCAACUGCAGCAAAUUAGCAAUUUUUCUUUUGCUAAUUGGAAAUAAAAAUGUUUGCCGAGGGAGCCGUUUGUCGGCAUGCGGUUUUCGGUUUCUGUGCACCGUGAGGCUGUGUUGAAAAUGCAUCCUGAGGUACUGCCCACCCUGGGGUGCCCCUCACCACAAAUCCUAAAGGCCCUCCUCGCGGCAGUGUGCAGAACACGCCUCUCCCCUGCAGCUCUCCGCUCAGCCCGGCACUGGACGCGAGGACCCCUCCUUUGGGAGAGCUGGGCCCCAGGCUGUGAACUUUCGGAAAGCCAUUGGGAUUGGCAGGUGGCAAAACUGUCUAGGGUGAGCUGUGAGAAAGCUCUUUGCAGGGAAGAGGGAGAACACGUCUCCAAAAAUGCCAGCUGGGUUACGGGAUUUCUGAGCAAGCGUGGUUCGGGUUGUCCACCUUGUCCGCUGAGCGUGCACCUGGGGGAGGAGCGUCCUGAGGCCUGGCCUCCAGGGCACAUCUGAUUUCAGCCACCCCUCGCUGCCAAGAGUAGAAAAGACCCCAGCUCGUGGGUAGAAGGUGGCAGAGGCACCUGCCAGUGUGGAUAAGGGGAGGAAGCAUCUUCUGCUAAUUGGAACAAAGAAAGAAAGAGCCAGAAGGAAGGCAGAGAACAUCCCUUUCUAAGGAAGGGCCUUGAGAUCAGGUGUAGCCAUUCAAAACUUGGUGAAGAGACAGGCCCCACCGAUGCCCACCUGUGCGGGCGGGCACAUCUGUGUGCACGUCCGGAAUGAAAGGCUUUGGGGGACCCCCAUGAGAGAGGAGAAGUACGAACCAGAGAGGAAGAAAGAGCCCUGCGGCUCCCUGCCGAGAGCCAGGCACCUCCUCUGGCCGUCACGCCAGGCUGCAGAGGCCCUUUGGGGAAGAGCGCGCGUCCCAGCCAGCCCAAAAUGAAACUCGCAGGGCCUCAAGGAAAACUGGGCUGAGUUUCUCAAGAGCUCUCCCGUGUUGAAAAAAAAGAUCUACCGGGAUGCACGGCACGGGGACCUGGCCCCAGGAAGAGCAGGGCCGUGAGUGAAAACGCUGCUUCUGGACAGCGUGCACUCAGCCACAGUGGCUGGGAGAACCCCUCACCCUCGCCGUAGACUUAGGCCAGCGCACUCAGCAUGGCUGCCAAGCUCGACAGAGGCCAGUUUAUGCUCCCAGGCACUCUUGAGAUCCACUUUCAUCUGGAAUAAGGAGCAGAAAGGAGCGGUUUUCCUCUUGAGUUCUGACCUGGCCCAAACCAGAGAAGCCAUAAAUCCAACCAGGAGGGCUGUUCCCAUGAGAUCCCUGCUCCCAUUCCAGACCAAAUAAGCCGAGAAGAGCUGGGGGGCAGCCCAGCAGCUGCUGCAGCGUCUUCUGAACUGACAGCCUGCAAGCUGCCGUGCGCCCACUGCUGUGGCCGCCCCAUCCCCAGCGCUAACCCAGGCUAAGGAGCUGGACGCCAGCCGCCCAGGAAUGGAUUCUGGGUCACUUCCAGGGAAGAGAAAUCACUGCCGAUCAACUCACACACGGGCGAAUGCCCGUUUCACGGUGAAAGGUGUGUGAGGAGAAGGCCACCCGGGGCUUUUUAUCCUGUUUGGGAAUGAGCUUUGGUCACGGAGCCCUGGAGGAAAACACCACACAGAAAGCGUGCUUCUAUCCACACAGAGGGUGCCGUUUCCCCUGCUGCCCUGCAACAUUUGGACAUGGAACAGUGCUAGGCUACGAGUUAAUUCACAGAGGAACUGCCGCAAUCCCAGUGGGUGGCUUCAGGCUGUCAGAGACAGUGGUGGCCCAGGGAGGGACCAGGAGCCUGGGAGGCUGAGGAAGACAGAGGUGCGGACAGUGGGCACCUGAACUCUAUGGCAGUCACGGAUGACUGGCUACAGGAACCUGUCCCCUCCAGUUCCAUGCUGAUGGCCACAGCCACAGCCCCGCCCUCUGCAAUAUCAAGAAUGGUUUCAGCAUCUCCAGUCUCAGGCAUGGGCCUAGACUCUCUGAUUUCGUGAGGCCAACCACAGCCUCCGGACAGUGUGGCUCCUGACUCCUGCCCCAGGUUUGGGGAGACUCUGGGAUGCCCAGCUCCAGCCUGCUAGGAUGCCCACCUCAGCCUUCUAUGGCAGGUCAUUGAGUGUGCCCAGCUGUGAUGUGACAACUAGGCCUGGUUCGGCGGGGGACAGCCACCGGGGGCAUCUGAAACCCACCAACCCACCAGACCUGGGUGGGGAUGUGUCUGGGUGUGUCUCCCCACGCAGGCCAUAUUGGGGAAGGCUCUUGGAUUCUCCUUCCCUGGUGGGCUCAGGGGCCUGCAGGAGCAUGCAUGCUCUGUGGGUCUCCUCUCUGUGGAGGCCCCUCUGGCUUCCCAGCCCCGUGGCAUGGAUGUCACUGGAGUGACAGCACUGUGACAACCCACUGUACUUUCUGCGGGUUGGACGCUUCUUGAACAUGGCUGGUUCAGCAUCUCGGGGGCCUGGACACUGCCUCGUCAGCACAAAUCUCUCCCCAGCUCCUUGCUGGGAUAUGUGGAAACAUUUUUCCCAUGGAAAGAGAGUGUGGCCUUUGUCAGGGGGCCACGGCCAGCCCGAAUUACAGUAAAGAUUAAUCCCAAACAAGAGACAGAGACAGAGACAAAGAGCAUCAUACACUUGGGUUUUCAAUGGAUGUUUUCAUAAAUGUAUGAAUAAUUUAAAUUAUCAUUGCCGAGUAUUUAUUCGAGUGUUUCAGGGGGAAAAAUGCCUCCUCUUUUUUCUCCCUUGAUUCUUUUCAUUUUUGCCUCAUCUCUUUUAUGUGCUGCAUAGGCUGUUUUCUUGCCAUCUGAAUCGGCCCCGGGAACAAUGGGAUGUAUGAGGCUGAGGAGCCGGGGAAGAAUGCGCCCCUUGUUGCCGACGCCGCGCCUUGACAUUGAUUAAUGAGGGUGCGGACACGGGCAGAAUUUGUGAGAGCUGAGGGGAAACCAGA
rnacentral:lncRNA from 1 species